UGUUGGUGUUAGUGAGUGCUGGUGAUGGUUAUGAUGUUGGUGUUGGUGAUGCUGAAGGUGUUGGUGAUGCUGAAGGUGUUGAUGUUGGUGUUGGUGAUAGUGCUGGUGAUGGUCAUGAUGUUGGUGUUGGUGAUGCUGAAGGUGUUGAUGUUGGUGUUAGUGAGUGCUUGUGAUGGUCAUGAUGUUGGUGUUGGUGAUGCUGAAGGUGUUGGUGUUGGUGAUGCUGAAGGUGUUGAUGUUGGUGUUGGUGAUAGUGCUGGUGAUGGUGCUGAUGUUGGUGAUAGUGCUGGUGAUGGUCAUGAUGUUGGUAUUGGUGAUGCUGAAGGUGUUGAUGUUGGUGUUGGUGAUAGUGCUGGUGAUGGUCAUGAUGUUGGUAUUGGUGAUGCUGAAGGUGUUGAUGUUGGUGUUGGUGAUAGUGCUGGUGAUGGUCAUGAUGUUGGUGUUGGUGAUGCUGAAGGUGUUGA
ensembl:lncRNA